rnacentral:misc_RNA from 1 species
AAUGCUCAAACCCUUAUAUUUAAGGGAUUUUGGAUGUGGAAGCUUGCGGGUCUCUGAUGAGAUCGGCUCUUCUAAAAUGCAUUAGCAAGGACCUGUCUUUUGCUGGCCUUGGUGUGAUAAUUAUCUACGCCAUGGGUUCACAGACAUGUGUGUCAUGCUUUCUAAUCGUCCUUUCAGGACAAAUAAUAUGACAU